GUGGGCGUAGCUCAGUUGGUUAGAGCGCCGGAUUGUGAUUCCGGAGGUCGCGGGUUCAAUUCCCGUCGUCCACCCCA
rnacentral:tRNA from 1 species